rnacentral:rRNA from 1 species
AAAGCCGGGGACCUUCGGGCCUAGGCGCGAUUUGGAUGAGCCCACGUCGGAUUAGCUAGUUGGCGGGGUAAAGGCCCACCAAGGCGACGAUCCGUAGCUGGUCUGAGAGGAUGAUCAGCCACACUGGAACUGAGACACGGUCCAGACUCCUACGGGAGGCAGCAGUAGGGAAUAUUGGACAAUGGGCGCAAGCCUGAUCCAGCCAUGCCGCGUGAGUGAAGAAGGCCCUCGGGUUGUAAAGCUCUUUUGUCCGGAAAGAAAAGCGCCGGGUUAAUACCCUGGUGUCCUGACGGUACCGGAAGAAUAAGCACCGGCUAACUUCGUG